rnacentral:lncRNA from 1 species
AAUUUUUCCUGACAUAUUUUAACAGAAAUAACAAAAUAAGAAAAAGCAAGGUACACUUGUAAGAUGAACCUUGGGAUCAUACCAUCUACAGCCAAAUCAAUUCUGGGGACAGUGUGAGCACUGAGGGCAGAUGUUGGGCCACUCUCGCCCCUGGCAGAUGUGGAUCUGGGGUUGGUCUCCUCAGGGGAUCCCACAGUGAGACCUUAGCAAAGAGCAGAGAGAAGAGCUUUUCUUGUGUCAUACGAUAUGUGACAAUGCAAGGAUGCGUUGGGGCACCUAUAUAUUGAUCUGCCUCAAACCAGCUUUAUACAAGAAUGGAAAAGCAACAUGUAUCCACCUCUUUAUUUUUUCCCCUGGUGUUUGUGGGAAGGAGGAAAAGAACCUUUUACCGUCUGAAUUUAUGACAUUCCUGCUCUCCCUGGGUAGAAAGGAAAGGGACAUCUUUUCUCUCUGACUGUGAGGGAAGCACUGACUAUUGGUGUGAGUGAUGGGCAAGAAGCUCUCUCAGGUUAGACCUUGUUCUCCCCAGAGACCUGCACCCCAGCCACUCCCUGCCCUAGGCUAGUGUUCUGGGGCCCCCUGGCCUGUCCCCUCCUAUGCUCCCCCCUUUCCAGUAGCUAUGAGCCCUGCCACUUUCUGUCUUUGGAAAGGCAGAGGUGAGGGAGCAGGCUCCCAGGAGGCCCAGAGGAGCAGAGGGUCUCCAUCAGGGUUAUCUCCUUGCAGGAGAUGAAGACAGGGUCUCCGCUGCAGGGGCUGCAGGCAGGAGCAGUCAUUCACUUCCCUCUGCAGCUGGGAGCACUUUUCCCCGUCAUUUAUCACCUGACGACUGUUUUUGUGUGUUUCCCUCUAGGCAGGGAGCCAGGAGGGUUAGUGCUUGGGACACCUCCUCCUGAUGCGCUGACAACGACGGCAGCAGUGUCCUCCCGCCGAGGGCGGUGGCCCCAGGCCUCGGGCACACGGCAUCCGUCCUCACUGCCCGCCCAACCCUCCCCUCGAGACCUACUUUUGCUGGGAGAGGCAAGGAGCCAGCAGAGCCAGCCCAGCUCCCAGGUCCUCCAGGAACCUUGUGGGACCUUGUGGAAGAGAAGAAAAAACCACCCUGAGUGUGUUGGCCCCACAGAAGAGGAGUUUUCAGCACGUGACCUGCGGCCGCACUGCCUGGCCUGUUUCCCAGCACUCAGUGAAAGGUAAGUGAGAAAGCAAGCUUGUUUUCAGCAGGCACAAAUCCAAGGAAUUGGCUGUGUGACUGGGAGAUGGCUCCAUGGGUGGGAGAAAAAAGUAAAAAUGCCAGUAGGGAUUACUCCCACCCAGAAACAUGGAUAACCAGCAUGGCACCUCAUGGAGGGGAGGUUGCUUCAGAGCGCAACCGCCCUUCAUUUUGCUGUUGGUUUUUGUUGUAUCAAUGUGAGAUACUCCUGUGUCAGUCUCUCCUUGAACCUCUGUCUUCUAAGGGCUGAAAUAAAAAACCAGCAGAGAACCA